UACGUAGGGUGCAAGCGUUAAUCGGAAUUACUGGGCGUAAAGCGUGCGCAGGCGGGUUUGUAAGUCUGACGUGAAAUCCCCGGGCUCAACCUGGGAAUUGCGUUGGAGACUGCAAGGCUGGAGUCUGGCAGAGGGGGGUAGAAUUCCACGUGUAGCAGUGAAAUGCGUAGAGAUGUGGAGGAACACCGAUGGCGAAGGCAGCCCCCUGGGUCAAGUCUGACGCUCAUGCACGAAAGCGUGGGGAGCAAACAGG
rnacentral:rRNA from 1 species